UUGAGAUAUUUGUAUGUUAUAUUUACUCACUGAUUCUUAUUUACCCACUGAUUUAAUAAGAAAUAAAUUAUUGUAACUAGUUGUUGUGCAGUUGGUUACUCAAACAAAUUUAAAAAUGAAUGUGGAUUGAAGUUUUAUAAAUUUCCAUCAGGAAAAUCGUCUUUUGAGAAAAGAAGACGUAUAGACUGGAUUAAAGCUAUUAAUAAUAAGCAUUGGGACAGUUAGGAAAAUAAAAAAAUUAGUAAAGAACGAGUAUGCAGGGCACAUUUUGUAUCAGGAAAACGUUCAAAUGAUACAUCUGACAUUGACUGGAGUCCAUCUUUUAAUCACCUUGGAGCUGCUCUGAUUUUUAGUUUGAUUAAAAAAAGGAAGAGAAAAGAUUGCUAUAAAGCUUUAUGUAAAAAACAAUUUUUCAAAAAAUCAAUACUUCCAUCUAGCCAAUCAAAUGAUAUAGAGCUCGAUAACUAUAACGAUAAUAUAAAUAUUGGCAUAAAUUCACUAAAUGAAGAGUCGGUAUUAGUAUUUCUAAACUUUUUCAGCAUGAUACUUAUAAAGCAAAAACUCUUAACUUUCAGUUAAUUCAAUACAAAAAUGAAUUGAUUAAGAAAUCUAAUAAAAUGAUUGAAAUUAAAAAAAGUAAUCCCAGACUAAACCAUAAUUAAGAUAUUUCAUACCAUAACCUAACUGAGCUAAUAAGGAGUAGGAGUGUUAUAAAAAAAUAGUUUAAAGACUAUAACUGUAUUAUUAAUUGUACCACAGUUUUUAUUGAAAGACCAAAAAAUUUAAUUUUACAAUCACUAACUUGGUCUAAUUAUAAACAUUUCAAUACCAUUAAAUAUCUUAUUGGUACUGCACCACCUGGGGCAGUUAGUUUUCAGACAGACAAAUAACGUUUGAGUCAAACUUUUGUCAGAAGCUUAAUCCUGGCAACUUUAUUCUUGCUGAGAGAGGACUCAAUAUUAAAGACAAACUAAAUGCUAUUGGGGCAACGUUAAAAAUUCCAGUAUUUACGAAAGGUAGACAACAAUUAUCUGAAUGGGGAGUGGAAACAUCUAAACAGAUAUCUAGUUUUUACAUACAUGUGGAAUGAGACACUGGUCAAAUAAAAAGGUUUUGCAUUAUUCAUAUAACUGUGCCAAUCACUCAAAUGGAUUUAUUAGAUGAUAUUAUGAUUAUUAUUUAUGCUCUUGUAAAUCUCAAUAUGAGUGUCAGGGGCGGAUCUAGAAUUUAUUUCUCCUUU